UGAGAAGAGACCGGAAAAAGGGUAUAGGGA
rnacentral:piRNA from 1 species